ACUACAACAAACUUGAUUUGUUUCAACCCACUUUUCUCGAGGGGUGACUAAAAAAGUGCCGAAACCAUCAACAAAAAUUGGGAUGGGUGGAGAAGUUUGAUUAGCUUUAUUCCGAGGGUCAUUAAAACCCUCGAAAUAAACCUAUAAAACCCUCGGAAUAUUCUAUUUAAAUUAGGCGGGCUAGUGUGCUCCAGCGCUAAUCGUAGCUCCAAAUUUAAACAUUUAUCAACGCAUCCUAUCACAACCUUUGAAAAAAGAUAUCUCAAAAUAUCCAACCCUUGAAAUAAAGUCCAAAAUUAAAAUACAAAAAGGAAAGCUCAUUUUUGUUCUCGCUCCACAAUCAGAAAAUUCUCUCAAAAUCGGAGCUAUCUCAGAAAAUUCUCUCAAAAUCGAUUUGAGCUCAUCUCAGAAAACUCAAAGAUCGGAGCUCAUCUCAUCUCCGACGGGUUGAUUUGCGGUGGUCAGAUAUCUCAUCUUCGACGACAAGCGAGCGGUUGAUAGACUGAGCACUCUUCGCCACCCCAUUUUCCGAUUACAGGAAAUUUGGAGUAUACACAAAGGCUGCCAAGUCCCAAGGCAUCAUAGUUGGGGCUUUAAAUGUUAUAAAUCCCAGAAACCCAACAGGCCAGGUUUCGGGUGAGGAGAACCAGCGUGACAUUGCGGAAUUCUGCAGGAAAGGUCUUGUGCUACUGGCAAAUGAGAUCAACAAGAUUAUUCUGGUGCUCAUACAUAUGAAAGGAUUGAUGUGGAGGGAUCUUUCCAUACCGAAUGGUUCAAGCUUUCCAAACAGUGUAAGAUAAGUUUUGGAGACAAAACAACUUGAUGGGAAUCUUCCAUCUGAACUCGAGGAGUUCCUGAACAACAAUCAAGGGGUUGAAAUGGUAGUAAAGUUGGGUAGAGAGAAUACUAAUUGUCAAGUGAUUCUGUUACAAAAGAUCAGGGGCCCUAUCCUUCAGCUAAAACCCAAGAAACAACAGUGGUAGGUCUUUUCGCUACAAAUAAGCCCAAGGUAUAAAACUUGAUUGGACUGCCUCUUUGUAUGUGUGAGUUUAUAUGGACAUUAAUUUCAUCAAUCAAUAGUAGCCUGCAUAUGAAAGAAACCAUUACAUAUAUGUUUCUUGUUAAAAUGGUGUGAAUAGGUUCAUCAGGUGAAUGUAAUCUUUGUCUGGAUAAUGGAUGAUUUUGGGGCUUUACUGUCUUGAGUGUAUCACUAGAGCAUUAUGUUUCUUGUUUGCAUCCUUGAAUCAAGAAUGUUGGUUGGUUUUUA